rnacentral:rRNA from 1 species
AGAAUCAACGCUGGCGGCGUGCCUAACACAUGCAAGUCGCACGAGAAAGGGUAGCAAUACCUGAGUACAGUGGCGCACGGGUGAGUAACACGUGAAUCAUCUACCUCCGAGUGGGGAAUAACUGAGAGAAAUCUUAGCUAAUACCGCAUAAUACCCACGGGUCAAAGCAGCAAUGCGCUUGGAGAGGAGUUCGCGGCAGAUUAGUUAGUUGGCGGGGUAAUGGCCCACCAAGACGAUGAUCUGUA